CAUGCUUUGCGUCGAACUUGUAAAAAUGGACGGGGAAUAAGAAACGUUCUCUGUCUCUGUGUCUCUGUCUCU